AGUGAACGCUGGCGGUAGGCCUAACACAUGCAAGUCGAACGGCAGCACAGGAGAGCUUGCUCUCUGGGUGGCGAGUGGCGGACGGGUGAGGAAUACAUCGGAAUCUACCUUUUCGUGGGGGAUAACGUAGGGAAACUUACGCUAAUACCGCAUACGACCUUCGGGUGAAAGCAGGGGACCUUCGGGCCUUGCGCGGAUAGAUGAGCCGAUGUCGGAUUAGCUAGUUGGCGGGGUAAAGGCCCACCAAGGCGACGAUCCGUAGCUGGUCUGAGAGGACGAUCAGCCACACUGGAACUGAGACACGGUCCAGACUCCCACGGGAGGCAGCAGUGGGGAAUAUUGGAAAAUGGGCGCAAGCCUGAUCCAGCCAUACCGCGUGGGUGAAGAAGGCCUUCGGGUUGUAAAGCCCUUUUGUUGGGAAAGAAAAGCAGCCAGUUAAUACCUGGUUGUUCUGACGGUACCCAAAGAAUAAGCACCGGCUAACUUCGUGCCAGCCGCCGCCGUAA
rnacentral:rRNA from 1 species